rnacentral:misc_RNA from 1 species
AACGCACAUUGCGCUCCUUGGUAUUCCGGGGAGCACGCCUGUUUGAGAAUCAGUAAAAUUCAUCGGCGCUGUUUUGGGGUCCUGCAAAGGUCUCCGAAACAAACGCCGGAUGUGGGCUGUUUGCAAGCUUCUUGCGGGCAAUGGCCUGAAAUCAAAUGUCACGAAACCAAUGGACGCCUGUCUUGAGGAUUUCAAGCGCAUGAGAGAGUGUCUUCACUUUUAAUUACGUUUGACCGGACCUUUUGGCAAAGCGCUGUUGUUUGAGUUCGACUCACUGAUUAACACGUGGGUGAGGAGGCGACAGUCUCCUUGCCCCGAACACUUGGUCUCAAAUCAGGUGGGAAAACCCGCUGAACUUAA